GUCAAGGUCUUGCUUGGGUUGCAUGUUCACUGCAUGAGGUCAGAGUCAAGGUCUUACUUGGGUUGCAUGUUCACUGCAUGAGGUCAGAGUCAAGGUCUUACUUGGGUUGCAUGUUCACUGCAUGAGGUCAGAGUCAAGGUCUUACUUGGGUUGCAUGUUCACUGCAUGAGGUCAGAGUCAAGGUCACAGUUACUUAAAAUGGAAAAUGGAUUUAACUUUGAGCUCAACAAUAAUUUGAGUUGUUUUAAUGCAACUACAAAACUAGAUAAGUUUCAUAAAAAUGGUGUAUGUGAUUGCAGGUGGAAUUAAGAUUACCAUUACAAAAUAUAGAUAAAGGAUUUCCACUCAAUGACUCAACACCAAACUGAGCUAUUGUAUUGAAACUGUGCACAAAAAUGCUUUAUAUCCAGAUAAAGCAUUGGAUUGCAUAUGGGAUGUGCAGGUCAAUGUCAUUGAAAGUAGAUCUUGAAGUAUUUUUUGUGCUUGAACUUAAAAACAAAUUGACCAGCUACGAAUAUUAAUGCAAUUAUAUUUUUCUUAUUGUUUGUGGUAGACCUUUCUGUAGACAGAAAAAGUAAAAAUGCUUAAAAGAAUACAUGUUUAUCAUGUAAGGUAAUUUACUACUAAAUAAUUUACUAAAUUCAAUAAUGUAAACGCCUUUUCCUAAAUAAUACUUAAUAUAUACAGCUGUAUAUCAAUAUGGAAAAGGAACAAUACGGUUCAAAUAUAGAAACACAGUUU